UACGUAGGGCGCAAGCGUUGUCCGGAAUUAUUGGGCGUAAAGAGCUCGUAGGCGGCCAGUUGCGUCUGCUGUGAAAUCCCGGGGCUCAACCCCGAGCCUGCAGUGGAUACGGGCAGACUAGAGGUAGGUAGGGGAGAAUGGAAUUCCCGGUGUAGCGGUGAAAUGUGCAGAUAUCGGGAGGAACACCGGUGGCGAAGGCGGUUCUCUGGGCCUUACCUGACGCUGAGGAGCGAAAGCGUGGGGAGCGAACAGG
rnacentral:rRNA from 1 species